rnacentral:rRNA from 4 species
UUAAAUUGAAGAGUUUGAUCAUGGCUCAGAUUGAACGCUGGCGGCAGGCCUAACACAUGCAAGUCGAACGGUAACAGGAAGCAGCUUGCUGCUUUGCUGACGAGUGGCGGACGGGUGAGUAAUGUCUGGGAAACUGCCUGAUGGAGGGGGAUAACUACUGGAAACGGUGGCUAAUACCGCAUAACGUCGCAAGACCAAAGAGGGGGACCUUCGGGCCUCUUGCCAUCAGAUGUGCCCAGAUGGGAUUAGCUAGUUGGUGAGGUAACGGCUCACCAAGGCGACGAUCCCUAGCUGGUCUGAGAGGAUGACCAGCCACACUGGAACUGAGACACGGUCCAGACUCCUACGGGAGGCAGCAGUGGGGAAUAUUGCACAAUGGGCGCAAGCCUGAUGCAGCCAUGCCGCGUGUAUGAAGAAGGCCUUCGGGUUGUAAAGUACUUUCAGCGGGGAGGAAGGUGUUGUGGUUAAUAACCGCAGCAAUUGACGUUACCCGCAGAAGAAGCACCGGCUAACUCCGUGCCAGCAGCCGCGGUAAUACGGAGGGUGCAAGCGUUAAUCGGAAUUACUGGGCGUAAAGCGCACGCAGGCGGUCUGUCAAGUCGGAUGUGAAAUCCCCGGGCUCAACCUGGGAACUGCAUUCGAAACUGGCAGGCUUGAGUCUUGUAGAGGGGGGUAGAAUUCCAGGUGUAGCGGUGAAAUGCGUAGAGAUCUGGAGGAAUACCGGUGGCGAAGGCGGCCCCCUGGACAAAGACUGACGCUCAGGUGCGAAAGCGUGGGGAGCAAACAGGAUUAGAUACCCUGGUAGUCCACGCCGUAAACGAUGUCUACUUGGAGGUUGUGCCCUUGAGGCGUGGCUUCCGGAGCUAACGCGUUAAGUAGACCGCCUGGGGAGUACGGCCGCAAGGUUAAAACUCAAAUGAAUUGACGGGGGCCCGCACAAGCGGUGGAGCAUGUGGUUUAAUUCGAUGCAACGCGAAGAACCUUACCUGGUCUUGACAUCCACAGAAGAAUCCAGAGAUGGAUUUGUGCCUUCGGGAACUGUGAGACAGGUGCUGCAUGGCUGUCGUCAGCUCGUGUUGUGAAAUGUUGGGUUAAGUCCCGCAACGAGCGCAACCCUUAUCCUUUGUUGCCAGCGGUCCGGCCGGGAACUCAAAGGAGACUGCCAGUGAUAAACUGGAGGAAGGUGGGGAUGACGUCAAGUCAUCAUGGCCCUUACGACCAGGGCUACACACGUGCUACAAUGGCGCAUACAAAGAGAAGCGACCUCGCGAGAGCAAGCGGACCUCAUAAAGUGCGUCGUAGUCCGGAUUGGAGUCUGCAACUCGACUCCAUGAAGUCGGAAUCGCUAGUAAUCGUGGAUCAGAAUGCCACGGUGAAUACGUUCCCGGGCCUUGUACACACCGCCCGUCACACCAUGGGAGUGGGUUGCAAAAGAAGUAGGUAGCUUAACCUUCGGGAGGGCGCUUACCACUUUGUGAUUCAUGACUGGGGUGAAGUCGUAACAAGGUAACCGUAGGGGAACCUGCGGUUGGAUCACCUCCUUACCUUAAAGAA